GAUACACUUAGUGGCGGACGGGUGAGUAACGCGUGGGUACCUGCCUCACACUGGGGGAUAACAGUUAGAAAUAGCUGCUAAUACCGCAUAAGUCCGCAUGGAAAAAACUCCGGUGGUGUGAGAUGGACCCGCGUCUGAUUAGCCAGUUGGCGGGGUAACGGCCCACCAAAGCGAUGAUCAGUAGCCGGCCUGAGAGGGUGAACGGCCACAUUGGGACUGAGACACGGCCCAAACUCCUACGGGAGGCAGCAGUGGGGAAUAUUGCACAAUGGGCGAAAGCCUGAUGCAGCGACGCCGCGUGAGUGAAGAAGUAUUUCGGUAUGUAAAGCUCUAUCAGCAGGGAAGAAAUGACGGUACCUGACUAAGAAGCCCCGGCUAACUACGUGCCAGCAGCCGCGGUAAUACGUAGGGGGCAAGCGUUAUCCGGAUUUACUGGGUGUAAAGGGAGCGUAGACGGCGAAGCAAGUCUGAAGUGAAAACCCAGGGCUCAACCCUGGGAGUGCUUUGGAAACUGUUUUGCUAGAGUGUCGGAGAGGUAAGUGGAAUUCCUAGUGUAGCGGUGAAAUGCGUAGAUAUUAGGAGGAACACCAGUGGCGAAGGCG
rnacentral:rRNA from 1 species